CCUACGGGCGGCAGCAGUGGGGAAUAUUGCACAAUGGGCGCAAGCCUGAUGCAACCAUGCCGCGUGUGUGAAGAAGGCCUUCGGGUUGUAAAGCACUUUCAGCGGGGAGGAAGGCGUUAAGGUUAAUAACCUUGUCGAUUGACGUUACCCGCAGAAGAAGCACCGGCUAACUCCGUGCCAGCAGCCGCGGUAAUACGGAGGGUGCAAGCGUUAAUCGGAAUUACUGGGCGUAAAGCGCACGCAGGCGGUCUGUCAAGUCGGAUGUGAAAUCCCCGGGCUCAACCUGGGAACUGCAUUCGAAACUGGCAGGCUAGAGCCUUGUAGAGGGGGGUAGAAUUCCAGGUGUAGCGGUGAAAUGCGUAGAGAUCUGGAGGAAUACCGGUGGCGAAGGCGGCCCCCUGGACAAAGACUGACGCUCAGGUGCGAAAGCGUGGGGAGCAAACAGGAUUAGAUACCCCAGUAGUC
rnacentral:rRNA from 1 species